rnacentral:rRNA from 1 species
GACGAACGCUGGCGGCGUGCCUAAUACAUGCAAGUUGAGCGCUGAAGGUUGGUACUUGUACCAACUGGAUGAGCAGCGCACGGGUGAGUAACGCGUGGGGAAUCUGCCUUUGAGCAGGGGACAACAUUUGGAAACGAAUGCUAAUACCGCAUAAAAACUUUAAACACAAGUUUUAAGUUUGAAAGAUGCAAUUGCAUCACUCAAAGAUGAUCCCGCGUUGUAUUAGCUAGUUGGUGCGGUAAAGGCUCACCAAGGCGAUGAUACAUAGCCGACCUGAGAGGGUGGUCGGCCACAUUGGGACUGAGACACGGCCCAAACUCCUACGGGAGGCAGCAGUAGGGAAUCUUCGGCAAUGGAGGAAAGUCUGACCGAGCAACGCCGCGGGAGUGAAGAAGGUUUUCCGAUCGUAAAACUCUGUUGGUAGAGAAGAACGGUGGUGAGGGUGGAAAGCUCACCAAGUGACGGUAACUACCCAGAAAGCGACGGCUAACUACGUG